rnacentral:rRNA from 1 species
CGGACGGGUGAGUAACGCGUGGGCAACCCUGCCCUGUACCGGGGGAUAACACUUAGAAAUAGGUGCUAAUACCGCAUAAGCGCACAGCUUCGCAUGAAGCGGUGUGAAAAACUCUGGUGGUAUACGAUGGUUCCGCGUCUGAUUAGCUAGUUGGUGGGGUAAUGGCCUACCAAGGCAACGAUCAGUAGCCGGCCUGAGAGGGUGAACGGCCACAGUUGGGACUGAGACACGGACCAAACUCCUACGGAAGGCAGCAG